UCAUUUAUACUCGCGAAGUGCAAGACGUGGCUACUAGAAAGAGAUGUCAAGAGAACCUGGAAUCCAGUAGGCUACAAUUUGGCAAAUCUUAGCUUAAAACUUCCUAAAUGUUGACCACAGUGGAUGCAAAUGACUCUGUGCAUCAUCUGUUAAAUAUGGUCAGAUGACCACCCAGGUUCAAGUGGUUUGUCACCAGGGUGAUAGGCGCCACACGGAGUGCCCUCCUCAGAGGCCAUGUCUCAGAGACAUUUAUUUUGAGUGGUUUUCCAGUGAGUGAUGCAAGAUUUAUGAUCUAUUUUAACAGCCUGCUUUUUAUGCAUUUGCUCAAAUUUUUAGAUUUUAGGUUUUCUGUCAUACUUGCUCAACUAGGAGUGGUGGUCAAAUACUGGACCUCAUUAGCAUGAUAGCCUGCCCACCUUGGCAGGCUCCACUGGAGUGCUUGGGGCCUGCCUGGAUUCCAGUCCUGGCUCCACCAGGUUUGUGUCCUCGCCGUUACUGGGAGGGAAUAUUGAGGAAAUGCAUGCGAGGUGCUUCCGGUGAUUCCUGGCACAGAGCAAGUGCUCAGUAAUUGUCAGCUGUGAGUAUUAGUAGUAGCUAAUACACUACCACUAUUCUUGGCUAAGAGGCCAGCUCAAAGCUUUGAUGGUUUCCAUUACCUGAUGAUGGUGAUGAUGGUUUCCACGUACUGAACACUCACACCGCUGGGCUAGGCGCUUAACCCAAAUCCAAGGUCAGCAUUAUUGUUUGGGGUUCGGGGGAGACACCUCCUGCUCUGACGUGUGUGUUUGGGUUCCCGUAUUUUCACCAGAGGGUGUUAGUCCUGCCCCAGUUCAGCUGGUCCUCAAAGCGUAUGUAGCUCUUUAACCAUCAGCAAGUGUUAGUGAGAACAUAAUCUUGAUUUCAGCUGCUACUAAAUAUCUACCAGGAGCCUGCUUGAGAGAGAGAAUUGCCUGACAGGUGCCGAGUCCACCAUUCCUGAGAUACUUUGAAAUCAGUGUCUGGCUUAACGCAAGCUGUGUAUCGGGACCCUCUCACCGUGGUCCCCAUGGAGUCACUUUUCUUAGGCGCCCCCCUUUUCCUUGGGCUCUGAGCUUCCUCUGCCUUUCAUCUCUGCAGGAUGAAGCCCCACCCGCCCUUCAGGAUGCAAAGCCCUCCUCUAUAAAAUGCGUGCAGUGGCCAGGUGCAGUGGCUCACGUCUGACCUCCCAACACUUUGGGAGGCCGAGGCAGGGGUAUCGCUUGAGCCCAGGAGUUUGAGACCAGCCUGGGCAACAUUGUGAGACCCUGUUCCUUGAAUUGCCCUGGGAGAUUUCCUCAGCUUGUGCUGGAGGCAUGUGGCCCCAUGAAGCCCGUAGUCACGGUUCACCCUGAGAGACGCUGGCUUUGGGGCUCACACGCCUGCUGCGGGCAGCCCCAGGAGAUGGCCACCCUGUUUCUCCUGGAGCUGGAGCUGCGCGUCUUCUCGGCAACUUUGGUGGCUGUUCUGUUUGGUUUGCAUCUUAUAAACCGUUUACCCGAUUACAUUUUCCUCUUCAAUUUAGCUGCUAGAAAAUUUAAAGUCAGGUUGGUGGCUCGCCAGUAAUGACAGUUUAGAGGUAAACUUUAUGACGUAGUCUUAGACUCUUCACUUUCUCCUCAGCCAACAUGAUUCACAGUUACUUUAUUUUGCUGUACUGUGAGUGUCUUUGUGUUUCCUGAAUUCCUUCUGGAAUAAGGCAGGUUGUUAGUAAGCACAGGUUUCUGGUCCAUCUCAUAGCCUCAGGCAGUGGGCGGUGCCAUCUGCUCCCUUUCUGGGUUACCUGUGGUAGCUCUCAAGUUGCAGGGCUGCGAUUUGAAGCCUGAUUUAGUACGCCGUGUUUCUGUGGUGUUCUGUGGUGGUUUGCUCCUCACGUGUGAGCAUUCACCCCGUGGCCCUGUUUCUCCACCGCACCUCUGCCUGGUGGCAUCCUACUGGAUGUCUCAGCCGAGCCACUCUGUUCUGAAGACGCCCUUGUCCUCCACCCCUUUGCUUUGGGCUCUGAGCGUCUUCUGCCUUUCAUCUCUGUAGGAUGAAGCCCCACCUGCCCUUCAGGAUGCCAGCCUUGGCAACAUUGUGAGAGCCUGUUUCUGCAAAAACUAAACAAGCGUAGUGGUGCACGCCUGCAGUCCCAGCUACUUGGGAGGCUGAGAUGGGAAGAUCACUUGAGCCUGGGAGGUUGAGGCUGCAUUGAGCUGAGAUCAAGCCACUGCACUCUAGCCUGGGAGACAGAGCGAAACGCCAUCUCAAAAAAACAAAGAAAGUGGAUGUGCGCUGCCCCUGCCAUUGGAUCAUCGCAGCAUUUUUCUUUUCUCUGAUGUGCGCCUUUUUCCUCACCGUGGGGGCUCAUGUUUUCGUAGUUCCCUCUCGCUACUAGAUUGUGAGCUGUGUGGAGGAAGGUUCAUAAUUGUGUUGUAUGCACAGACACACAAACUUUGUCCUUGGAUAGACACAUACCAAUCCGCUUCCUUCUCCUCUCUGAAUUUAUUUAAAAAAAAAAAAGAGAUGGAGCCUCACUGUCUUGCCCAGGCUGGUCUCAAACUCCUAGGCCCAAGCAAUCCUCCCGCCUCUACUAAUAUGAAUUAUUAGCCUGUACUAUUUGAAUUCCUAUACUAAUGUGAUUGAAAUUAGUUUGACUUGCAUAAUAAUUGUUCUCCCAGAUUGGGCUUCUGUUUUGAUAGUAGAACUAAAUUAUUAGGCUAUUUCAAGAAAUUAAUAUAUUACUGGUAGAAAAACUGAAGCUACAAAAUGGCCGGGUUUCUCACUUCAGUUAAAUUUGUGCUUCUGAGUGCUUGUAUUCUAGGUGAAACCGCACUGAGAAGGUAUUUGUGGCCCGUUCGCUGAUUCAUUGAUUAGACUUCUUUGCACAGGAGAGCUGCUAAAAAUUACUGCGGUGAACAGUGCCUCCAGCUGCAUUGCUCCCAAACUGGAACAUCUGUUCCCACCCGGGUCUCCAGCUGCACGGCCCUCAAACUGCAACAUUGUCUACCCUCAAGUCUCCAGUUGCAAGGCCCUCAGAAUUGAACAUGAGCUCCCCACCGGGUCUCCAGCUUCACGGCCCUGAAACUGGAACUUCAGCUUCCCACCGGCUAUCCAGCUGCAUGGCCCUCAAACUGGAACAUCAGCUCCCCGCCAGGUCUCCAGCUGCUGGGGGCUGACAAACCUUUCGUUGAUUAAGUGGCCUGGGUGUCCCAGGCCCAUUUAUAUUAGACCUCUCAGUAUAGCUUGGUGCAUUUCCAGGAAACAUAACACCAUUCAUUCAAUUUAAACUAUUGGAAUUGUUUUUCUCUGCAGAGGGAUAAUCACAGCUAACAACCAUCACGUUCUUUUAGACUCCUCGGAGAAGUUUGUCUGUUCCUGUAUAGUUUCUCCUUGGAUCUGUUAACAAUUCACCUAGUCACUGAAUAGUAAAAGGGAUACCUUAAAUCCAGUGACAAUUUUCAGUAUUCUUUCCUUGAUUUCAUCAAAGGGAAUAUAUUCGACAUUAGGGUUGGGAGGACCUCUUGCCUCAGGAGCUGAAGUUCUGAAAUCAUCCAUCACUUUCUCCUGUUUGAAAAUAAAAUAGUCUUUAAAUUGGGA